CCUCCCAAGUGCUGGGAUUACAGACUCAUACCACAGCCAGAUUUUAGUCUUGCUGGGGUCAAACCCAGGGCCUUGUAUACUCGAGGCAAGGGCUCUACUAAGAGCCAGAACCCCAGCCCCAAAUAUACCAUUUUAAUUUUUCUCAAGUACAACUUUUGUCAGUAUUACCUAAUGAAAGCAUUUAUAUAUUUUUUUAAUCUUUGUGAGUGUGAGUGUGUGCAUGCGUGUGCGUGUGUGUGCAUGCGUGUGCGUCUGUGUAUGUGUGUGUGUGCGCGUGUGCGUGUGCGUGUGUGUGUGGACAGCUUGGGUGUGGAGGUCGGCUGGGGAACAACUGCAGGAAUCAGCUCUCUCUCCCCACCCUGUGGAACCCAGGCAGUCUGACUUGGCCAUCAGCACCGUCACCUGCCGAGCCCUCUUGCCUUAGGAAAUACAGCAGCGUGUGAAAUGCCAUAACUAUAUCCCAGCAUGCAGCGCACCAGACGAUCAAUUUAAAACACUCUCAUCAUCCCAAAGAACCUGGGAGCCUGCUGAGCAGCCCCUUCCCAAGCGGGUCUCCAGCCCGGCCUCUGGCAGCUAUGGAGGCCCCGAAGCUCACUCAUCCAGAGCAGAGACCCUGUUUAGCCCUUCGAUGCUACAGUGAGCAAGGCUUCUAGGAACAUCCAUGUGCAAUUUUUUAUAUUACCUUAUUAUCUAACUCAUUGGGCUGGCUUGUUUGAUGUCAACUUGACCUCAGUCGAGAAAACGUCCCCACUAGACUGGCCUGUGGGCGAGCCUUGACUGCUGAUUAGUGCAUCAGCGCCUGCCUCCCGGCUCCUGCCCUGACUUUGCUCAGUGAUGGACUGUGUGAUCUGAAAGUUGUGAGCUGAAAUAAACCCUUUCUGCCUCUAGGUGCCUUCUGUCAAAUAACAUAUAAUCACAAGAAUAGAAACUUAAGCAAGACAUCCAUUUGCUUUUCUGUUUUUGUUUUUGUUUUUUUUUAUUUAUGUAUUUAUGUAUUUAUCUU